UACGAAGGGGGCUAGCGUUGCUCGGAAUUACUGGGCGUAAAGCGCACGUAGGCGGAUACUUAAGUUAGGGGUGAAAUCCCGGGGCUCAACCCCGGAACUGCCUUUAAUACUGGGUAUCUCGAGUUCGAGAGAGGUGAGUGGAAUUCCGAGUGUAGAGGUGAAAUUCGUAGAUAUUCGGAGGAACACCAGUGGCGAAGGCGGCUCACUGGCUCGAUACUGACGCUGAGGUGCGAAAGCGUGGGGAGCAAACAGG
rnacentral:rRNA from 1 species